GACGAACGCUGGCGGCGUGCUUAACACAUGCAAGUCGAACGGAAAGGCCCUGCUCUUGUGGGGGGCUCGAGUGGCGAACGGGUGAGUAACACGUGAGUAACCUGCCCUUGACUUGGGGAUAACUUCAGGAAACUGGGGCUAAUACCGGAUAGGAGCUCCUGCUGCAUGGGGGGGGUUGGAGAGUGUCGGCGGUGGGGGAGGGACUCGCGGGUUAUCAGCUUGUUGGGGGGGUAGGGGCUUACCAAGGCUUCGACGGGUAGCCGGCCUGAGAGGGUGACCGGCGCCAUGGGGACUGAGAGACGGCCCAGACUCCUACGGGAGGCAGAGGAGGGGAGUAUUGCCCACUGGGGGGAAGCGUGAUGCGGCAACGCGGCGUGCGGAAUGACGGCCUUCGGGUUGUAAACAGUUUUCGCCUGGGACGAAGCGUGAGUGAGGGUAAUGGGUAAAGAGGCACGGGCUAACUACGUG
rnacentral:rRNA from 1 species